AGCAAAUAAAAAAUUCAUGAUGAAAAUAAAUCAUUGGAUGAUUUUUUAAAAAUGCAAUUUUAUGUGGCACUAGAAGUGCACCUUCGCCAUAUAACCUAUAUUGUUAUAUCAUUGCUUCUUUAAUUUUGGUUGGCACUUCUUUUUAAACUAAAUCUUUUAUGCAAAAUAGAGUACAUUAUCUUUAACUUUUAAUGCUUUCUAUAAUCAUAAUGCAGUUCUCCUUAACACUGCCUUUUUUAUGUGCCUAGUGAACCUCUUGGCAAAGAAAGAAAACUGCAUUUGCUUAACUCCCUGUUGGAAAAUGUGAAAAGCUAUUUGCACAUACCAUGGCCAGUUGGGACUGAAGCUCAAUUUCCAGGGCUUGCAGGGUCAGAGCGGGUCAUAGUCAGGUCAUCCAGGACUUUCCGCAGGCCAUUGAUGUCAGCCUCCACGCUCUGCCGGAGACACAGCUCGUUCUCAUACCUGGAAGGGGCAGCAGUAAGGCAAAAAAUACUGUGAGCUCACCUGGCCGUGUUUCAAAGGCUGUUGUAGGCUGAUGAAAGGAGCAGAAGCGGCCGGUGUGUAGCUACUGGCUUAGGUGCUCAGCAGAGAGGAUCUACCUGCCCCAGCAUCAGUGGAGAUUUGUCUAAUGGUCUAAAGUUUACCCUUGGGAUGUUUGUAAAUUUAGGUCAUGAUCCUCUAGUAUAUAUAUAUAUAUAUAUAUAUAUAUAUAUAUAUAUAUAUAUAUAUAUAUAUAUAUUUAUUUAUAAAAUGGAAUAAAAUUUAUUUUUCUCCC
rnacentral:lncRNA from 10 species